AGUGAGCGCUGGCGGUAGGCCUAACACAUGCAAGUCGAACGGCAGCACAGUAAGAGCUUGCUCUUACGGGUGGCGAGUGGCGGACGGGUGAGGAAUACAUCGGAAUCUACUUUUUCGUGGGGGAUAACGUAGGGAAACUUACGCUAAUACCGCAUACGACCUACGGGUGAAAGCAGGGGAUCUUCGGACCUUGCGCGAUUGAAUGAGCCGAUGUCGGAUUAGCUAGUUGGCGGGGUAAAGACCCACCAAGGCGACGAUCCGUAGCUGGUCUGAGAGGAUGAUCAGCCACACUGGAACUGAGACACGGUCCAGACUCCUACGGGAGGCAGCAGUGGGGAAUAUUGGACAAUGGGCGCAAGCCUGAUCCAGCCAUACCGCGUGGGUGAAGAAGGCCUUCGGGUUGUAAAGCCCUUUUGUUGGGAAAGAAAAGCAGCAGGUUAAUACCCCGCCGUUCUGACGGUACCCAAAGAAUAAGCACCGGCUAACUUCGUG
rnacentral:rRNA from 1 species